UGCAGUCGAACGAUGAACCACGUUCCGUGGGGAUUACUGGGGAACGGGUGAGUAACACGUGGGCAAUCUGCCCUGCCCUCUGGGACAUGCCCUGGAAACGGGGUCUAAUACCGGAUACUGACCUUCUCACGCAUCUGUGAUGGUCGAAAGCUCCUGCGGUGCAGGAUGAGCCCCCGGCCUAUCUCCUUGUUGGUGAGGUAGUGGCUCACCAAGGCGACGACACGUAGCCGGCCUGAGAGGGCGACCGGCCACACUGGGACUGAGACACGGCCCAGACUCCUACGGGAGGCAGCAGUGGGGAAUAUUGCACAAUGGGCGAAAGCCUGAUGCAGCGACGCCGCGUGAGGGAUGACGGCCUUCGGGUUGUAAACCUCUUUCAUCAGGGAAGAAGCGAAAGUGACGGUACCUGUGAAGAAGCGCCGGCUAACUACGUGCCAGCAGCCGCGGUAAUACGUAGGGCGCGAGCGUUGUCCGGAAUUAUUGGGCGUAAAGAGCUCGUAUGCGGCUUGUCACGUCGGUUGUGAAAGCCCGGGGCUUAACCCCGGGUCUGUGUCGAUACGGGCAGGCUCUAGUUCGGUAGGGGAGAUCGGAAUUCCUGGGGUGCGGUGAAAUGCGCACAUAUCUCGAGGAACACCGGUGGCGAAGGCGGAUCUCUGGGCCGAUACUGAGACUGAGGAGCGAAAGCGUGUGGAGCGAACAGG
rnacentral:rRNA from 1 species